GCCCUGAUGGUCUAGCGGUAUGAUUCUCCCUUAGGGUUGACACAUGUUGGCACGCAUGGGAGAGGUCCCAGGUUCGAUCCCUGGUUAGGGCC